UUGAACGCUGGCGGCAGGCCUAACACAUGCAAGUCGAGCGGAUGACGGGAGCUUGCUCCUUGAUUCAGCGGCGGACGGGUGAGUAAUGCCUAGGAAUCUGCCUGGUAGUGGGGGACAACGUUUCGAAAGGAACGCUAAUACCGCAUACGUCCUACGGGAGAAAGCAGGGGACCUUCGGGCCUUGCGCUAUCAGAUGAGCCUAGGUCGGAUUAGCUAGUUGGUGGGGUAAUGGCUCACCAAGGCGACGAUCCGUAACUGGUCUGAGAGGAUGAUCAGUCACACUGGAACUGAGACACGGUCCAGACUCCUACGGGAGGCAGCAGUGGGGAAUAUUGGACAAUGGGCGAAAGCCUGAUCCAGCCAUGCCGCGUGUGUGAAGAAGGUCUUCGGAUUGUAAAGCACUUUAAGUUGGGAGGAAGGGCAUUAACCUAAUACGUUAG
rnacentral:rRNA from 1 species